AAGAUAGAAUACAAUUGGUCCGCUGUCUGCUGGAAAGGUUAUGACUGUGGAUGCAAAUGAUUUUCUCGCUAACCAGAACACGGGCCGAGGGUCAUGGGAGGUCACUGCCUCUCGCUGUGUGCCGGUAGCAGACACAGACGGUUAAUGACUGGGCACAGCAUCAAAGAGCCAGGCAGUUCGAGGCGAUGUCGCAGCGUUGUCGGAGUGAGCAGUAAUGUAUAGUGCUGCAAACAAGAAGGAUUGCAGGAUCCCUGCCUCCCAGCCCGUGGGAGCCCGCGGUGAAGCCGGAGCUCAGGUAUAUGGAUGGCCUGAGGAGGUGUCCAUCAUUCAUAAAACAUGCCUCCGUACGCGGCCGAAUUGAUCUUGCAAAAGAAGCAGGGUGGCACAGCUACCACUUCAUUAGUCUUCUCGCGCCACAAAUCACCCUGCACUAGCCUCCAAGGGACCGCAGCCACCCCCGCCACCCUCACCUCAGCUCUCCUCUCCUCAAAGGCCCGGGGGAAAGGUGGGCUGGAUAGAUAACAACACCAUGAUUACAGUGCUAUAACAGCUUGUUAGCAUUGUGUUAAUGUUAGCUCAACAUCAGAGUGAUGGUACAACACAGGCAUGGUGAAGGUCUUGCACUGAAUUAGGAAUGAGCUCAGAUCAAGAAGGAGGCGACAUCAGAGCAGCCAGAGCACAACAAAGUUGAAAAAAAAACAUUGAAAUGCACACAAACCUUGUCAAUGGUAAUUGAUAGCUAGUGGUCAUUUCGAGAGUCCCGGAUGAAAUCAAGUGCCUUCUCCAUAAAACAAUGUCAAAUAUUGAUGAUAUUUAUUUUUCAUAGUUCCAAAAUGAAUUGCCCCAUUCCUCUACUAUUUAUGAUGAAUGUUUUUUAUUGCCUUUUUUGUUGUUGUUGGAGCUGCUUGAGAGAAUUGAGCGUCGUCUUUUCUGCAAAUGUUUCCAGCUCACCAGAGAAACCCUGCAGGAAACAACCAUCACUGGCCAUAAUAUCAGAUCCUCUGUGGUUCGCUCUGAACGUGAGGGAAAUACAAAACUUAAAGUCCCUUUUUUAUGUUGACUGAUGACAUUGGUUGACAUUAAUAUCUUCAUUAAAGGA